UACGGAGGGUGCAAGCGUUAUCCGGAUUUACUGGGUUUAAAGGGAGCGUAGGCGGGCUUGUAAGUCCGGGGUGAAAUCUCUGAGCUUAACUCAGAAACUGCCCUGGAUACUAUGAGUCUUGAAUGUUGUGGAGGUUUGCGGAAUAUGUCAUGUAGCGGUGAAAUGCUUAGAUAUGACAUAGAACACCUAUUGCGAAGGCAGCAGGCUACACAAAAAUUGACGCUGAUGCUCGAAAGCGUGGGGAUCAAACAGG
rnacentral:rRNA from 1 species